UACGAGAGGCCCAACCGUUAUUCGGAAUUACUGGGCUUAAAGAGUUCGUAGGCGGCAUGAAAAGUAGGGUGUGAAAGCCCUCGGCUUAACCGAGGAAUUGCGCUCUAAACUGUCGUGCUUGAGGAACCUAGAGGUGAGCAGAACAGAUGGUGGAGCGGUGAAAUGCGUUGAUAUCAUCUGGAAUACCGGAGGCGAAGGCGGCUCACUGGGGGUUUUCUGACGCUGAGGAACGAAAGCCAGGGUAGCGAACGGG
rnacentral:rRNA from 1 species